UUGACCUCGGAUCAUGU
rnacentral:rRNA from 2 species